CCAUCUGUAUCACCAGAUGACCCUAGGAUCCUGAAUAAAGCAGCGGAUCCGACAAUGUAACGAAGUCCAGUAAAUCACUGGACGGGAACUGAAUCGUGAGAGGACGUCCCUCCUGAUAACCACAAUCGGGUAAGUGC
rnacentral:ncRNA from 1 species